rnacentral:rRNA from 1 species
CGCGUAGGCGGCCUGUUAAGUCGAACGUGAAAAUCCCCGGGCUCAACCCGGGAACUGCGCUCGAGACUGGCAGGCUUGAAUCCGGGAGAGGGAUGUGGAAUUCCAGGUGUAGCGGUGAAAUGCGUAGAUAUCUGGAGGAACACCGGUGGCGAAGGCGACAUCCUGGACCGGCAUUGACGCUGAGGCGCGAAAGCCAGGGGAGCAAACG